CGUGAAUGAUGAAGGUCUUAGGAUUGUAAAAUUCUUUCAGUGGGGAAGAUAAUGACUGUACCCACAGAAGAAGCUCCGGCUAACUUCGUGC
rnacentral:rRNA from 1 species